rnacentral:rRNA from 1 species
UACGGAGGAGGCAAGCGUUAUCCGGAAUUAUUGGGCGUAAAGCGUCCGUAGGUGGCUAGUCAAGUCUGCGGUCAAAGACUGGGGCUUAACCCUGGAAAGGCCGUGGAAACUGACGAGCUAGAGUGCAGUAGGGGUAGAGGGAAUUCCCGGUGUAGCGGUGAAAUGCGUAGAGCUCGGGAAGAACAUCGGUGGCGAAAGCGCUCUACUGGACUGCAACUGACACUCAGGGACGAAAGCUAGGGGAGCAAACAGG